AUGCAGAUGCAAAUCUUUGUCAAGACCCUUACUGGCAAGACCAUCACUCUCGAAGUUGAGAGUUCAGAUACCAUAGACAAUGUGAAGGCUAAAAUUCAAGAUAAGGAAGGGAUCCCACCGGACCAGCAGCGUCUCAUUUUUGCUGGCAAGCAGCUGGAGGAUGGGCGUACCCUUGCUGAUUACAACAUCCAAAAAGAGUCCACCCUCCAUUUGGUGCUCCGUCUCCGUGGUGGAAUGCAGAUCUUUGUGAAGACAUUGACUGGAAAGACCAUCACCCUUGAGGUGGAGAGCUCUGACACCAUUGACAAUGUUAAGGCCAAGAUUCAGGACAAAGAGGGCAUCCCUCCAGACCAGCAGAGGCUCAUAUUCGCUGGCAAACAGCUUGAGGAUGACAGAACAUUGGCUGAUUACAACAUUCAGAAAGAGUCCACCCUCCACCUUGUGUUGCGACUCCGUGGUGGUAUGCAGAUUUUUGUGAAGACCCUUACUGGCAAGACAAUUACUUUGGAGGUAGAGAGCUCAGACACAAUUGACAAUGUGAAGGCCAAAAUUCAAGACAAAGAGGGCAUCCCACCAGACCAACAGAGGCUCAUCUUUGCUGGUAAACAGCUUGAAGAUGGCAGAACCUUGGCCGACUACAACAUUCAGAAAGAGUCCACCCUACACUUGGUGCUCCGUCUCCGUGGUGGUAUGCAAAUCUUUGUCAAGACCCUCACAGGAAAGACAAUCACCCUUGAGGUGGAGAGUUCUGACACCAUUGACAAUGUGAAGGCCAAAAUUCAAGACAAGGAGGGUAUUCCCCCAGAUCAGCAAAGGCUUAUUUUCGCGGGCAAACAACUUGAGGAUGGCCGAACUCUGGCAGAUUAUAACAUCCAGAAAGAGUCAACUCUCCACCUUGUGUUGCGACUCCGUGGUGGUAUGCAGAUUUUCGUGAAAACCCUUACUGGCAAGACUAUUACUUUAGAGGUAGAGAGCUCGGACACAAUUGACAAUGUGAAGGCCAAAAUCCAGGAUAAGGAGGGUAUUCCCCCAGACCAGCAAAGGUUGAUUUUUGCUGGAAAGCAACUUGAAGAUGGACGUACUCUGGCUGACUACAACAUUCAGAAAGAGUCUACCCUCCAUUUGGUGCUCCGUCUUCGUGGUGGUAUGCAAAUCUUUGUCAAGACCCUCACUGGAAAGACCAUCACCCUUGAGGUGGAGAGUUCUGACACCAUCGACAACGUGAAGGCUAAAAUUCAAGACAAAGAAGGCAUUCCACCAGACCAACAGAGGCUCAUCUUUGCUGGCAAACAGCUUGAGGAUGGCAGAACUUUGGCUGAUUACAACAUUCAGAAAGAGUCCACCCUCCACCUUGUCCUUCGUUUGAGGGGUGGUUAUUAAAUGCAAAUCUUUGUCAAGACCCUUACUGGCAAGACCAUUACUCUUGAAGUUGAGAGUUCAGAUACCAUAGACAAUGUGAAGGCUAAAAUUCAAGAUAAGGAAGGGAUCCCACCGGACCAGCAGCGUCUCAUUUUUUCUGGCAAGCAGCUGGAGGAUGGGCGUACCCUUGCUGAUUACAACAUCCAAAAAGAGUCCACCCUCCAUUUGGUGCUCCGUCUCCGUGGUGGAAUUUAGAUCUUUGUGAAGACAUUGACGGGAAAGACCAUCACCCUUGAGGUGGAGAGCUCUGACACAAUUGACAAUGUGAAGGCCAAAAUUCAAGACAAAGAGGGCAUCCCACCAGACCAACAGAGGCUCAUCUUUGCUGGUAAACAGCUUGAAGAUGGCAGAACCUUGGCCGACUACAACAUUCGGAAAGAGUCCACCCUACACUUGGUGCUCCGUCUCCGUGGUGGUAUGCAAAUCUUUGUCAAGACCCUCAUAGGAAAGACAAUCACCCUUGAGGUGGAGAGUUCUGACACCAUUGACAACGUGAAGGCCAAAAUUCAAGACAAGGAGGGUAUUCCCCCAGAUCAGCAAAGGCUUAUUUUCGCUGGCAAACAGCUUGAGGAUGGCCGAACUCUGGCAGAUUAUAACAUCCAGAAAGAGUCAACUCUCCACCUUGUGUUGCGACUCCGUGGUUGUAUGCAGAUUUUCGUGAAAACCCUUACUGGCAAGACUAUUACUUUAGAGGUAGAGAGCUCGGACACAAUUGACAAUGUGAAGGCCAAAAUCCAGGAUAAGGAGGGUAUCCCCCAGACCAGCAAAGGUUGAUUUUUGCUGGAAAGCAACUUGAAGAUGGACGUACUCUGGCUGACUACAACAUUCAGAAAGAGUCUACCCUCCAUUUGGUGCUCCGUCUUCGUGGUGGUAUGCAAAUCUUUGUCAAGACCCUCACUGGAAAGACAAUCACCCUUGAGGUGGAGAGUUCUGACACCAUCGACAAUGUGAAGGCUAAAAUUCAAGACAAAGAAGGCAUUCCACCAGACCAACAGAGGCUCAUCUUUGCUGGCAAACAGCUUGAGGAUGGCAGAACUUUGGCUGAUUACAACAUUCAGAAAGAGUCCACCCUCCACCUUGUCCUUCGUUUGAGGGGUGGUUAUUAAGUAUGUGGUAGUUGUGUAGUUCUUGUCAGUGUGUUGGAGUCCUACAAAUCUUUGAUGUUUUCUGUUCCAAG